rnacentral:rRNA from 1 species
AUUGAACGCUGGCGGCAGGCCUAACACAUGCAAGUCGAACGAGUGGCGGACGGGUGAGUCAUGUCUGGGAAACUGCCUGAUGGAGGGGGAUAACUACUGGAAACGGUAGUUAAUACCGCAUACCAUCAGAUGUGCCCAGAUGGGAUUAGCUAGUUGGUGGGGUAACGGCUCACCAAGGCGACGAUCCCUAGCUGGUCUGAGAGGAUGACCAGCCACACUGGAACUGAGACACGGUCCAGACUCCUACGGGAGGCAGCAGUGGGGAAUAUUGCGCAAUGGGCGCAAGCCUGAUGCAGCAAUGCCGCGUGUAUGAAGAAGGCCUUCGGGUUGUAAAGUACUUUCAGCAGGGAGGCGUUACCCACAGAAGAAGCACCGGCUAACUCCGUGCCAGCAGCCGCGGUAAUUC